rnacentral:rRNA from 1 species
AGCAGCAGCCGCGGUAAUACGGAGGAUCCGAGCGUUAUCCGGAAUUAUUGGGUUUAAAGGGUGCGUAGGCGGAUAGAUAAGUCAGUGGUGAAAGACGGUGGCUCAACCAUCGCAGUGCCGUUGAUACUGUUUAUCUUGAAUAUGGAUGAGGUAGGCGGAAUGUGGCAAGUAGCGGUGAAAUGCAUAGAUAUGCCACAGAACACCGAUUGCGAAGGCAGCUUACCAAGGCAAAAUUGACGCUCAUGCACGAAAGCGUGGGGAGCAAACAGGAUUAGAUACCCGAGUAGUCCCUGUCUCUUAUAU